rnacentral:lncRNA from 1 species
ACCACUCAUGUAACACCCCCUUUCCGAAAUAGAAAGGGAGGUUACUCAAAACAUAACAAAACUGAUGAAUUUAAUAGCAAGGUUCAAAGCCACAAAAGAAUAGUCUUAAUAAUUGAUAAUACCACCAGUCAACCAUAAUAAAUCUCAAACUGUCUCAAACCACAAUCGAAAAUAAUUAUUACAAUUCUAAGUAAACUGACACAUCAAGUCUAAACAGAAUAUCUAUAAAUGAUUGGAAUGAAUGGAGCUCUCAUCACACUUGCCCUUGAUUCCCCUGAUUACCUGCCGGAAGAAAAACACAGCAUGAGCCAAAUGCCCAGUACGGAUAUAGAAUACAAGAAUAAUGAAACGAAAUAACUAACACAAUUAAUUGAACUGAACUGUAACGAACAAAACCAACACAAUGAAAUGAUAGGCUGAAUCAAAUGGCUGGGUGUUAUUUCAUACCGAGCUCAAAAUAAAUAGUAAUAUACCUUGCCACACAGGCAAGUCAAAUAAUGCCACACAGGCAAUCAAAAUAAUGCCACACAGGCAAUCACACAUCGGACUGCGCAAUCCAGAUGCAUGUAAAAUCGGAAGGUGUGUUUGGCACAAACAUCACCAAUCCGCAGAACAGAACAGAACAGAAAACUAGGGUCGACCCAUACGCCUCCCACAACAAAACACCAAAUGGCCAACUCCCACCGGAGCACAAAACGGAGACGCCGUGGACUGAUCACACCGCCACGGAAGGUGUCAUGCCUCGGUGCCAAGAGGACAUGCCUGUGGUACCCCCACAGGUGGUUAUAGCUCAGGUAUACCCUACGGUAUUCUAACAAGGAUACCAUGUCACAACACAUGCGACACAACAAAGGGGUUCUAACAUGUACAUGUUAAACUGAAACGAGAUAUCAACACAAAGUCUCCAAAAAAAUUAACAUGCACAUUACUACAAUAUCAAAAUAAAUUUAGAUAUGUUGUACUAGUCUACAGAGUACAAUUAUGAGUUCCAACUAUGAACGCCAAACGAAACUAUCACAAUGAAUUUGACAAGAUAUAAUCAUGAGAGGCAAUGCUAAUUUUCAAAACGCAUAACGAAACGAACUAAUUAAAAACAAAAGAAUCUCGCUGAAAGAGUACGUAAUCCGUACCUGGAUUAAGCAAUGUAAUACCCAAAAUUUAUACUCCAAAUUUGACUCGUUUAGACUCUCUCCGUUCAAUCUAAUAAUAGAAUAAUAAAAUAAAUUUUAUUACAAAUCUAGCCGUUACAAACAUAAUAUUAUUUAAUUUAUUAAUAAGAAUUUUUAUAAUUAUGCCGGCAAAAUUAAUUAAUUUAAACUAAUAUACAUAACUUUAAUUUAAAUUACCAAUUUCGAUUUAUAACUUCAUAGCCAAAAAUUUAUUAAAAUAUAAUUUAUAUAUAUGUUAUGAACACUGUUAACAGUAGGCUAAAAGUUACGAUUUUUUUUUUUUAUUAUUUAUUACUCAUAUUAUGAUUUUCAUGUAAAUUCCCAAUUCAAUCUUCCACAUAAUUCUAUAUAAGACCAUAUCAAGAAUCUGAAUUAUCAAUUAAUGUAGACAAUUCUUAUAUAUUAUCUAUAUAUAUAUAUAUUAAAUAAAAACAAAUGUUUCAUCCGUUCCAAGCCAGGUGUUCAUACUGCAAUAUAAUCAAUACUUCAAUUCCCACCUUUAUUUAUAUGAUUACUUCCCAUCACAAUUAUAUGACAGUUUUUUCGUAUUUUUUUUUUAGUUGUAAAUUAGAAGAAAUUAAAACAAGACAACAAUUGAUAUACAGAAGGUAACAAAAUAAAAGAACAAAACAUAACAAACCUGUGUUCCUUUUUUUUUUUUCCUAGUACGUACUUCUCUUUGAAAUAUCCUAAGAGGCGGCUGCGCUUCUUCUUUUUCUUUCUGAUUUGCAUCUCAGGUUUUAUUAGGUUUUAGUAUAUGUAUAUUUAUUAUUUAUUUUAUUAAUUCUCCUAAUUAUAAUAAAAUUAAUAUUACUCACAUUUAAUUAAAUUAAACUCAAAUAAAAUUUAAGGCCCAAAUUGUACUAAAUUAAUUUAUCCAUCUCUUAUUAAUACUUAUUAGCUCACACCAAUUAAAUAACUAGUUUGACUCAAAAUAAAUGACCAAGUCCAAUUAAUAUAUUUUCAACAAAAUAAUUUUUAGUAUUAUUUAAUAUAUAUAUAUAUAUAUAUAUAUAUAUAUUUUUUUUUUUUCCGGGUAUUACAACUCACACUCCUUCAAUUAGUUAUUUAUAGAACAGAUAACAUCAGUUUGAUAAGAUAAGAACACCACUUGCCUCAAAUUAACCUGAUUUUUAAAACUUACAAACACUGUACAGAAGUCUUAAAUUGCAAUAACACCUGAAGCUGUUUGGGUUAUUUCCCAUCAAGCUGUUUGGUGAAGUGAGGAAAAGAUAAAUUAUGAAGGAAAAAAAAGAAGCACAUAAGCCAAUACAGUCAAAUGCCCUUUCAAAUGCUUUAAGAAAUACAGUCUGUGUAGUGGUGGAUCAUAACAAAUUUGUGAAAUCGCUUAAGCCAAAAAUCAACAACUGAUGAAUGAAUAGACUGACCAAUUUGAGGCACAACUGUGCGAGAAUUGAAACGUACGGCCAGCAUCCAAGGAAAAUAGCUCUGGCGUCAAAGAAAAAUGCGUCAAUUUUCCUUCGGCCACGGCUUCCUCUCAAGUGACGCUGUUGUUAUCGCACCGGCGAACAGUUGCUACGUCGGCGGGAGAGUAGAAGAGAGAGAGAUGAUGUGACCGUUGCUAGAAGAGAGAGACGUGCGACAGUACCACUCAAUUUUUACAAAUGAAGGAGAAGGCGAAAUAAGAAG